rnacentral:rRNA from 1 species
GAUGAACGCUAGCGACAGGCUUAACACAUGCAAGUCGAGGGGCAGCACAGGUAGCAAUACCGGGUGGCGACCGGCGCACGGGUGAGUAACGCGUAUGCAACUUACCUAUCAGAGGGGGAUAACCCGGCGAAAGUCGGACUAAUACCGCAUGAAGCAGGGGUCCCGCAUGGGGAUAUUUGCUAAAGAUUCAUCGCUGAUAGAUAGGCAUGCGUUCCAUUAGGCAGUUGGCGGGGUAACGGCCCACCAAACCGACGAUGGAUAGGGGUUCUGAGAGGAAGGUCCCCCACAUUGGUACUGAGACACGGACCAAACUCCUACGGGAGGCAGCAGUGAGGAAUAUUGAUCAAUGGCCGAGAGGCUGAACCAGCCAAGUCGCGUGAGGGAUGAAGGUUCUAUGGAUCGUAAACCUCUUUUAUAAGGGAAUAAAGUGCGGGACGUGUCCCGUUUUGUAUGUACCUUAUGAAUAAGGAUCGGCUAACUCCGUG